CGCCACGUAGAACAAUAAGGUCAACAAAAUAUUUUAUGUAAACACGGUAAAUGAUUUGCCAUAUACUUCUAAACUUGAUCAAAAUAGAAUAUUUUACGUGAACAUGAUUGCGGUGUUCAAAUACUAUUAGAUAAAUAUGAUAAUUGAUCACUACAACAGAAUUAAGUUAUAAAGACACAUGUUUAGGACACUUUUGUAUAACUGUCCCAUUUAUGCAAGAACUUUUUAAAAAAUCUAUUAAGGCCUAAAUAUAAAGCCCAAUCAAAUCAAAAAUAAAAGGUUACUCUACUCAACCCAACCUACUCAGUCCAUUCGGCCCGAUUACAAACAAAAAGGAAAGAAAAAAAAAUCGAUCACCAUCUCCUCUUCUCCCCUAACUUAAUCCACUGAAACCCUAGACGAAGAGCCAUUCACUCUCCUCCUCCUCCGCCACUGCAGCCAACGAGGUAAAGUUCCGGCGGUUGCUAAAUGCUUAAAUAUGUGUUAGUAAAUUAGCAGCACUCUUUCUAAGUUAUACCAACACUCUUAAACUGUCACUAUAUAUCUAGCGAUCUCACAUAUAGCAACACUUUUUAAAAGUAUCAGUAAUUUAACCAGCAGCACUUUUUGUUUCUUGUACCAAUAUUUAAAAGUGUCGCUAUACACUGUUUUUGUUGUAGUGAAUUUACCCUGUUUAAUACUAUUAGGUGAAUAUGUUGAAUAGUUUAUUAAUUGUAU
rnacentral:lncRNA from 1 species